AAUCGAUCGCCUGGGGGAGUACGGCCGCAAGGUUAAAAACUCAAAUGAAUUGACGGGUGCCCGCACAAGCGGUGGAGCAUGUGGUUUUAAUUCGAUGCAACGCGAAGAACCUUACCUGGCCUUGACAUCCACGGAAUUUGGCAGAGAUGCCUUAGUGCCUUCGGGAACCGUGAGACAGGUGCUGCAUGGCUGUCGUCAGCUCGUGUUGUGAAAUGUUGGGUUAAGUCCCGCAACGAGCGCAACCCUUAUCCUUUGUUGCCAGCGAUUCGGUCGGGAACUCAAAGGAGACUGCCGGUGAUAAACCGGAGGAAGGUGGGGAUGACGUCAAGUCAUCAUGGCCCUUACGGCCAGGGCUACACACGUGCUACAAUGGCGCAUACAAAGAGAAGCGAACUCGCGAGAGCAAGCGGACCUCAUAAAGUGCGUCGUAGUCCGGAUCGGAGUCUGCAACUCGACUCCGUGAAGUCGGAAUCGCUAGUAAUCGUGGAUCAGAAUGCCACGGUGAAUACGUUCCCGGGCCUUGUACACACCGCCCGUCACACCAUGGGAGUGGGUUGCAAAAGAAGUAGGUAGCUUAACCUUCGGGAGGGCGCUUACCACUUUGUGAUUCAUGACUGGGGGAAGUCGAACAAGAACAUGCUC
rnacentral:rRNA from 1 species